AACGCACAUUGCGCUCGCUGGUAUUCCGGCGAGCAUGCCUGUUUGAGUAUCAUUAACACCACAUUCAUCUUUUUUGAUGAGAUUUGAGUUUUGCACUGCAAAGUGAAACUUGCAAUACAUGUCUCAGUAAGGCGAACACCUCACUUUCUUUUCCUGAAAGCUUUCAUGCCAGAGAAGUGUGUGCGCUCGCUCUACCAACAACAUCUUAUGAAUCUCAAAUCAGGCAAGACUACCCGCCGAACUUAA
rnacentral:misc_RNA from 1 species